ensembl:lncRNA
GGGGUUGUCUGUGGCUUCAUAUUUGUCUCCUUCUGGGAAGCCAGUGGCAGACCUAGGUGCACAAUAAAAUGUUAAGGGAAUUUGGGGGGUUCUCCCAUGCCCAGCACGUGCUGGGGAGUGUGCUGAGUGGCUGGGGUUGAGGAAGUGGUCAGUGCUGCUGGCUCAGUCAUGUCCAGGCCCUUGUCUCAAUGGUGUUCUACCUUGAAACAGUGGGGGUCAGAUGGGGGUGGUGGUUCACACCUAGAAUCCUGGUUCUCUGGGAGGCUGAGGCAAAAGGACCCCAAGUUUGAGCCGACCCAGGCAACUUAGCAAGACCGUCUCAAAAUAAAAAAUAAAGGAAAGGCUGGGGAUGUUGCUCAGCACAGAGACCCUAGGUUCAGUCCCCAGCACACAAAAGUGGGGCUCAAGAUCUUCAGCACUGUUUUCCACAGUCCAACUGUUGUGGCAAAGCAGAACGGCUCAGUGCUAUAGCCCAGUGUUACUGAUCCCAGGCACAGCCGAGUGUUAUAACUCAGCGUCGCAGUUACUGAAAUUUAAAGACUUGAGAAUCUGAAGUUCACUUGAAGAAGUGGAGAAAAGCCUUUUACUAUGCCGGAGUGCUCAGUGGAGUUCAUACUCAGAAAUCUGAGGAAAGGACUAGAAGUGGGAGCCUCCUUACGUAGGAGUCCAGGGCUAGGUGUGCAUGCUCACUGAAGCAAAGGGGCGGAGUUACAGAACAUUCCCGAGAGGCGCAGUUCAAACUGUUACAAAACAUUUUGAUACAUUGGGCAAGAGAGCUGCCUGGCUGCACAGACCAUUACAUUUCUGCAGCAAAACAUGUUGUGGGAGGGACAUGGAGAGGAAGAAAAGGCGCAGAGGUCGGGUGCUUACCUCACAGUACACAGCCGGAGACGCAGAUGCCGAGAUCUGGUCCCAGACCUCCCACAGGAACUUGUGCGGCACAUGUGUCCUCUGCCCAGCCGGCCAGCUCUGAAGAGGGAGAGCUGGGAAGGAAGGGACACCGGUGGGCCAGGAUGGUCUGUAUCUUCCUUUCAUGUUUUCAUGUAAGUGGCCCAAACACAGUCAUGUUAUCGGGUAGGUUGUUUCCAAAAAGUGGCUCGCCAACUAAAUGUUACCAGGUUCUGGGUUGCUCGCC